UAGAAUGACAUCGAUCAUCACUCAAUGAUAUAGCUGUGCAUUAACUUCAUUGGCAGUUUGCCCCUCCCUUCUAGGCAUUUAGGGCCUAUACUUUUGUGUCUUGCCCUUCUCUGAUGGUUCUUAUACUUCAUUACUUUCGUGGAGUGCUUCUCAAACAAAUAGUAUGACUUUGCCGAAGCUUUGCAAUUCGUAUUUGUUUGGGUGAAGUUUUCUUUCAGGGAAUAACUCCAACCGAAGGUGCUCUUUGGUUUUGGCCUUGACCGAGGGAAUAUGCAAGUGAGAGCAUAAAGUAUACAAGGAAAAAAUGCUGUAGAGUACCAGUUUCUUCGCUUGUGGUUCAAUCACAAGAGCUUGUUGAUCCACAGUAUCAGAUAUCAAAUCCUGCAGUGGUAUGGUCUUGACCUUUUCCUUUCUCCUUUGUGAUCGGAUUGUUCAUAUUGGAAGUCUAAGGUCAUCUUGCCUUCCUUUUGGCUUCCAUGCUGUGCGUUUCUAGCUUCUAGUUCAGACAUCCGAUAAGCCUAUUGGGCCAAUAAUAAAGCAAGUACAUACGUAUUCACAUCUUGAGAAGCUAAACUUCAAGAUCGUUUUGACGAACAAAGGGAUCAAUCAAUCAAUCAAUCAUGUCUAGCGGGGAAUGUCGGAGGAGCUCUAGGAUGUUUGAACUGGAAGCUAGAAAAGCACAGCAUUGAAGCCAAAAGGAAGGCAAGAUGACCUUAGAAUUCCAAGAUGAAGAAUCCGAUCACAAAGGAGGUAGGAAAAAGGUCAAGACCAAACCAUUGCAAGAUCUGAUAUAAGAUCCUGAGGAACGACAAGCUUAUGUGGUUGAACCACAAGCGAAGAAACUGGUACCCUACGGCAAUAUUUUUUAGUAUACUUUAUGCUCUCACUCUUAUACUUAGUGUAAUUUCCAUUCCUAUACUUUUGUGUCUUGCCCUUCUCUGUCGGUUAUUAUACUUCAUUACUUUCCUGGAGUGCUUCUCAAACAAAAAGUACGACUUUGCCGAAGCUCUGCGAUUUGUAUUUGUCUGAGUGAAGUUUUCUUUUCUAUUAGAGUUAGCUAUUUCUUG